rnacentral:rRNA from 1 species
CACGUAGGGGGCAAGCGUUGCCCGGAUUCACUGGGCGUAAAGCGGGUGUAGGCGGUCCUCUAAGUCAGAUGUGAAAUCCUACGGCUCAACCGUGGAACUGCAUCUGAUACUGGAGGACUUGAGGACGGUAGAGGUCGGUGGAAUUCCCGGUGUACCGGUGGAAUGCGUAGAUAUCGGGAGGAACACCUAUGGCGAAGGCAGCUCGCUGGGACGUUACUGACGCUGAGACGCGAAAGCGUGGGGAGCAAACAGGAUUAGAAACCCGUGUAGU